rnacentral:rRNA from 1 species
GACGAACGCUGGCGGCGUGCCUAAUACAUGCAUGUCGAGCGGACGGAUGGGAGCUUGCUCCCAGACCGUCAGCGGCGGACGGGUGAGUAACACGUGGGCAACCUGCCUGUAAGACUGGGAUAACUCCGGGAAACCGGGGCUAAUACCGGAUAACUCUUUCCCUCACAUGAGGGAAAGCUGAAAGAUGGCAUCUCGCUAUCACUUACAGAUGGGCCCGCGGCGCAUUAGCUAGUUGGUGAGGUAACGGCUCACCAAGGCGACGAUGCGUAGCCGACCUGAGAGGGUGAUCGGCCACACUGGGACUGAGACACGGCCCAGACUCCUACGGGAGGCAGCAGUAGGGAAUCUUCCGCAAUGGACGAAAGUCUGACGGAGCAACGCCGCGUGAGUGAUGAAGGUUUUCGGAUCGUAAAACUCUGUUGUCAGGGAAGAACAAGUACCGGAGUAACUGCCGGUACCUUGACGGUACCUGACCAGAAAGCCACGGCUAACUACGUG